CUCUUCACCUCAGGUGAUCCACCUGCCUUGGCCUCCCAAAGUGCUGGGUUUACAGGCAUGAGCCAUCCCGCCCGGCCUGCAUUUUCCUUUUGCACGAGGCUUUGCAAAUAAUGUAGCCGGCCAUAGCUCUGGCUGGCACAGACCAGCUGAAUCAAAGCUGUCAUGGUGGGGCCCAGAAAUCUACUUGAAGAAGCACUCCAGUGAUUCUGCUGCAUACUAGAGUUUGAGAACUGCUGAGUGACAGGGAAGCUGGGGAGAAAACCUGAAGGUGGCCAGACCAUGUGGCCAUGGAGAGCGGCAGCUUGGGGGUCCAACAGACCACGACUGAAAUCCUAGUGUUUGCUGAAUGACCAUAAGCAAGACCCACAGCUCACUGUUGAACAAUCAUAGAUGGGUAUAUAUAAUUCAGACACACUGGAAGCUAUUCCUGAGAGAAUGACCAGCCUGGUAAACUGGAUAAAAGCCACGGUAAGAUCUGUUUACCCUGAGAAGCGGGCUGCCCAACUCCACUUAUCAAUGCCAAGUGGAACACCCCAGAGGAAGCAACCAAUAAUAUGCUUCAUAUGCAAGCCAUUGGGAACUGGCUUUAUAAUGACGGGAAUAUUAACCUGGUGUUUUAAAAAUAUAUUAACUAGUCUUUCUGAGCUUGCUUCCAAUAGGCUCCAGUGUCCUACAGAUGUGCCUCUUUUCUCUUUGAAGCUGAGAAACCAAGUCAUGCUGAAGACCUGGAAAUCCCAGCAGGCUGCAAACCAGCUGCAACCACCAUGGACAGGCAAAAACAAAAACUUAAAACUCAUCAGAUCACUGUAUCCAGACGGAGAUGCCAGACCCCUCAUCCAUCAUGAUUACUUCCACACUCCUCCUUAAUUCCUGUUUUCCCACCUUUCCUGCUAUAUAAAACCCUCAAUUUUAGUCUGUCAAACACACUUGAGACUUUAUCUCCUAUUCUCCUUGGCUGCAACACCCCAUUAAAGCUUUCUUCCCCGGCAAUA